CCUACGGGAGGCAGCAGUGGGGAAUAUUGGGCAAUGGGCGCAAGCCUGACCCAGCAACGCCGCGUGAAGGAAGAAGGCUUUCGGGUUGUAAACUUCUUUUGUCAGGGAAGAGUAGAAGACGGUACCUGACGAAUAAGCCACGGCUAACUACGUGCCAGCAGCCGCGGUAAUACGUAGGUGGCAAGCGUUGUCCGGAUUGACUGGGUGUAAAGGGCGUGUAGCCGGGUUGACAAGUCAGAUGUGAAAUCCUGCGGCUUAACCGCAGAACUGCAUUUGAAACUGUUGAGCUUGAGUACUGGAGAGGCAGACGGAAUGCCUGGUGUAGCGGUGAAAUGCGUAGAUAUUAGGAGGAACACCAGUGGCGAAGGCGGUCUGCUGGACAGCAACUGACGGUGAGGCGCGAAAGCGUGGGGAGCAAACAGGAUUAGAUACCCCAGUAGUC
rnacentral:rRNA from 1 species